rnacentral:misc_RNA from 1 species
AACGGUCUAUACCUGCGGUACCUGCGGAAGGAUCAUUACCGAGUUAUCAACUCCCAAACCCCUGUGAACAUACCCGAACGUUGCCUCGGCGGGACCGCCCCGGCGCCCCUAGCGGCCCGGAACCAGGCGCCCGCCGGAGGACCCAAACUCUUGCUUUAAACAGUGGCAUACUCUCUGAGUCUCACAAACAAAAAAUAAAUCAAAACUUUUAGCAACGGAUCUCUAGAUCGGAAGAGCACA